CAACCCUCAGGCCCCCGGGCCUGGCGUUGGGGAUCGGCGGAAGCCCCCUGCGGGCACAACGCCGUCCCCCAAAUACAGUGGCGGUCCCGCCGCAGCUUCCAUUGCGUAGUAGCUAACACCUCGCAACUGGAGAGCGGCGCGGCCACGCCGUAAAACACCCAACUUCUGAAUG
rnacentral:misc_RNA from 1 species